UUUCGGGAUCAAUAUAACGGUCAUGCCGUUGGUAUGCACUGUUAUAAUUGAUUUCUCACCUUCUAAAGAACCGUAAUGCCAUUAAUUUGGUGUCACGGGGAAUUAGGACUGUUACCUUGAAAAAAUUAGAGUGUUUAAAGCAGGCUCACGCUUGAAUACAUUAGCAUGGAAUAAUGAAAUAGGACAUCCGAUUCUAUUUUGUUGGUUUCUAGGAUCGAUGUAAUGAUUAAUAGGGAUAGUUGGGGGCUUUAGUAUUCAAUUGUCAGAGGUGAAAUUCUUGGAUUUAUUGAAGACUAACUACUGCGAAAGCAUUUGCCAAGGAUGCUUUCAUUAAUCAAGAACGAAAGUUAGGGGAUCGAAGACGAUCAGAUACCGUCGUAGUCUUAACCAUAAACUAUGCCGACUAGGGAUCGGAUGAUGUUAAUUUUUAAUGACUCAUUCGGCGCCUUACGGGAAAC
rnacentral:rRNA from 2 species